rnacentral:rRNA from 1 species
GACGAACGCUGGCGGCGUGCCUAAUACAUGCAAGUAGAACGCUGAAGAGAGGAGCUUACUCUUCUUGGAUGAGUUGCGAACGGGUGAGUAACGCGUAGGUAACCUGCCUUGUAGCGGGGGAUAACUAUGGGAAACGAUAGCUAAUACCGCAUAAAAAGGGAUGAAACAGGUAAUUUAUUUGAAAGGGGAAAUUGCUCCACUACAAGAUGGACCUGCGUUGUAUUAGCUAGUAGGUGAGGUAAGGGCUAACCAAGGCGACGAUACAUAGCCGACCUGAGAGGGUGAUCGGCCACACUGGGACUGAGACACGGCCCAGACUCCUACGGGAGGCAGCAGUAGGGAAUCUUCGGCAAUGGGGGCAACCCUGACCGAGCAACGCCGCGUGAGUGAAGAAGGUUUUCGGAUCGUAAAGCUCUGUUGUAAGUCAAGAACGGGUGUGAGAGUGGAAAGUUCACACUGUGACGGUAGCUUACCAGAAAGGGACGGCUAACUACGUG